UAUUUUGGGUCUUAACCUCGUAAGGCCCAACGUCCUAUUUUUAGGACUGAGAAAUGUAGUCCUUCCGGCCCAAGCAACUAUAUUAAUUUAUCAAUUAGCGGCCCAGAGUCCUAAAAUUAGGUCAUUCACUUCUGACACGUACCGAUCCUAAAUCUUUGCGUGUAAAGAAACCUUUAUUUCUUAAAUAUGGCGGUACUGAACGCAGCUAUUAUGAUUACCUGUCAGUUUGACGUUUGACAAUCAAAUGACAGUCUUUUGGCACGCGGAUGUUGGGAAGAUGGCGUCCUCGCGAAAACGUUGCUUGAGGGAUGCAGAAUUAGAAAAUUAUUUAAAUCUAAACGAAUCCGACUUAGAAAUAAGUGAUUACGAUGAUGACAUAUUUGAUGCGGAUUUUCAACCCCCGAGACGUGAUCAGCCUUCUUACUCCUCAACAUCUUCGUCAUCUGAAGAUGAAAAUGAACUAGUUCCUCCAGAGACCCAGAUGGUUACUGCUUCGGUUGGAAAUAAAAAUGUCACGCCUGCAGAAUCUCACAUUUCACGCCGUUCUCGUGGAAAUUCAAGGACUCGAAGCUGCUCACGUGCUCGUGGUCGGGAAAGGUCAUCGCGUGGACGUGGAAGGUCUCAAAGCAUGUCCCAAGAAAAUCAUUCUGUUGUUAUCCAAGAUAUUUCAACUAAUGAGUGGACAGAAGGAGAAUUCAUUCCCAAGUGUAUUCCAUUUACACAACCAGCAUAUUUACCAAUAAAUCCAGAGCAUUUGUUCGAGAAAUACGAUUAUCUGCGGCAGUAUAUAAAUGACAGCUUAUUGCAAAUUAUUGUGGACAAAUCCAAUGAGAUGUAUUUUGCAAGAAAUGGUCGGUUACUGAAUUCUAUAGUAAUACUAUAGUAAUGUUACAGGAAAAACUAUUUUUUAUGAUGUUUAAUUGUUUAUGUAAGUAAUGUGAGAAACUUGAUCUCAUCCUUAAUAAAGACUAAAGUGCAAUUGUUAAACAAAGUUGAGGCUGAUGUGAUAAUAUUUUAGAAGAAAGUACUUUUUGUUGAUGUUUAGAAUACAUAAGUUUAGAUUUUUUGUACAACUGUAAUGUACUACCUACCUAUACAUAAAUAAAAAUAAUUAUGAAAUAUG